CCUGCUGUGCGACCAGCGGUAGCCUAAGAAGACAUGCGUCACUGGUAACGGUGGGGUGUGAAGCUCUUCUGACAAUGUAGCCCUCGGAUGUUUCGGGCAGAUCGAUUCCGCGAGGAGCGAUCUGGAUACUCCCAGCAGCAAGGGGGUUGAGGAG
rnacentral:ncRNA from 1 species